ensembl:lncRNA SCN1A-AS1 SCN1A and SCN9A antisense RNA 1
ACCAGCAAGAGCAAGAAGUAUUGGCAGCAGCAGGCAGCCAGGCAGGCUGGGAGUUUGCAUGGAAAUCAUGAAGUCUUUCUUGUCUUCCUCUUUUGAAAUAUUUUGGAAGGCGAGUUAAGAAUAGCUCAGAAACUGGUCUCAUUCUUUUUGUGGGAAGAAUGACCAGAAGCAUAAAAGCUAAGUCUUCCAGCAAGUGCAAGACACCUCUUUUGGUGUUUGCAGUAAACCUAACAAGAAUGAAUUGCUAUCAGUAAAGUCCUGUACCAUGACACCUAAAAGGAAGGAAAUGGUAAAGCAAAGUAAUAACUCAAAGACAGUCACCGAGGGCUUUUGUCCACCUUUAACUCAUUGUGGAACUUGACAUCAUCAGACAGUAAAUCAAGAGGUACUGACAACUGAGACUGAGUGAUGGUCCCUGCCUAGGAUUUGGAAUCUUUGCAUGAAAUAGGGACUCUAGCCACCAGCGACAAAGAAGUCAGGGAGACUGCGGUCUCUAGGAAGCACUUCCAGGAAACAGGAAUUCAGGCAAAGUUGGACAUUCCAAAGAUGGCGUAGAUGAACAUGACCAGGAAGAGCAGGAGGCCGAUGUUAAACAACGCAGGAAGGGACAUCAUCAAAGCAAAGAGCAGCGUGCGGAUCCCCUUUGCUCCUUUGACUAGACGUAGGAUUCGGCCAAUCCUGGCAAGACGGAUCACUCGGAACAGGGUAGCAGAGAUCUCUGGAGGUGAAACAUUGCUCUGAACUGGCAUUGAUUCUAGCCCAGCUCUUGUAGACCAAUUACCAACUUCUCCAUCUCCCUCCAGUGCCUGGAACUGGACCUGGCACACAGGCCUCUGGCUCAUCGGAAUUCAUAGGUUCAGCCUCUGCUUCUUCUCCUUCUCCAGGCAAAGGGUUAUCAACUGUGCUGCACUCUGAGGAGCUUGACCGGUUUAAUCUCUAGAAAGGAAUUCACCACCCCACCAGCCUUUAGACUAAAAAGAAAACAAAUAUUACAUACCCUGAAUCUGUGCUGAAACCACAAAGGAGAGCAUCUUUGGAUCCUUCCAAGUAAUAAAAAUAUUCUGUUGAAGAAGAAUUUGAACAGUUAUAACAUCACAGACUUUAAUCUGUGAUUGUGAUAAAGGAGGUCAAAUUAAAAAAUCUGAUUAUUGGGAGACUUUUGGAGUAAUCAUGGAAGAAAGACUAUGAAAUCAGAUAUUCUUGGAUUUGAAUGUUGCUUCUAUCCCUUCUUAAACAUUCCAUGCUGGAAAAAUCAGACCCCAGAGGUUUGCUGUUAUUGGAACACUGUGCUGCCUGAGAUUUUCAUAAAUUUGCCGUUUCAAAAAGCUGAAAGUACUUACGCAAAAACAAUGACGACAAAAUCCAGCCAGUUCCACGGGUCACGAAGAAAAGUGAAUUCUCCUACACAGAAGCCUCUUGCAAGGAUUUUUACAAGUGAUUCAAAAGUAUAUAUUCCAGUAAAAGUGUACCUAAACACAAGAUUCCAUUGGGAUACUAGAUGUGAAAAGAAUACAACCACCAUGUAAAUCUUUAUAACUUAUUUUCUCUAAUUAACCACUGGAAGACAUAUAUUGGAGGAUGGCUGUUGGGUUAUGGACACACCCUAUUAAACUACAAUAGGUCUAUCCAGAAAAUAUUAAAAUGUCAAUAUCAGAAACACUCCCAGAAAGCAGAGGUACUUGAAAUAACUAAGAAUAUAGGUCUCAGAUCUGCCUAAAAAUUUCCUACAUUGCUUCUAUCAAAAAUUCACCCAAUCAUUUAAAAAUACACCCAUAUAAUUAUAAAACAUACACCCAAGAAUAAAAUAUGUGUAACAUGUCUAAGAACAGGAUGGAGCAUCUGACAAGUUCAUUCUUUGAGAAAACACUGUAGCAUCUAAUUUUUCUAAUCUAGCAGGUUAAUAUCAUAGAGGAGGUAAAGAACAAAAGAAAAGCAAGCAUAUAACAUGGGAAGGUAAAGAUUCCCCAUCUUCAUAAAUGCAGUAACUUCCUGGCAGGAAAAGGAAAGGAUGAAAUGAUAAUACCAAAACUAUAUUAAAAUGUACUUAUACCCACUUACUCGACAUUUUUGGUCCAGUCCGGUGGGUUAUUCAUGGUCAUAAAUAUGCAGUUUGUCAGAAUAGUGCACAUGAUGAGCAUGCUGAAUAAGGUAGCUUAGAAUCAAGGAACAAAAGAGACGACAGUGGGAAUUUGAAAUAUUUGAGGAUGACACUUGUUGAAAUGCUUACAACUUUUCCUAAGAAAAAAAUUCUAAAUGAGCUUGUAGACUAUUUUGUCUCUUUGAACAAGAGAGUAAUAAAUAAAAGUAACAUAUCCUAAAAUCUUAAUAUUGCCACUCUCCCAGUCUUCUCUGAGACCCAUGACAAAUUAUAUUAAUAAUACUGAAAUUAAUAAACUAAAACCAGAGUCUUUCAAGGUGCAAAAGGUAUAACAUCUAUAUUUGAAUAAAAUAGCAAAAAUUACACCAUAAAGUGCCACUGGAUGUAAUCAUUUUUAAAAGGAUAUGAGUGUACUAAAAUCUUAAUAGAUAUUCUUCUUAGAGGACUGAAAGGAGAAAGCAUAUAUAAAGCAGGUGUGGCAUUGAAACGGAAGAUUGUUUUCCCUUUGUUCAAUACUAUGAAAGUCUGCAGGAGGAAAAAGAAAGGAUGAAAUUGAGAAUCCAAAAUAUCAAUUUUUCACAUCAAUAUCAGCAGUUUACCUUUCUACAUGGCAGUGUUAUAUUGAAGAAACACUGCCAUCAGACUCCAGCAAUGUGGUUCCAAUGUCAUCAACGCAUCUAUCAAUGUCACCUUGGCCAAUGAACUCCAAGUCCACUUCUUCAUAGUAACUUUAAAAAUUGAGCUAUUUGUUAGCAUGUAUUGCUUAGAGCUUUCAAAAUACUGUAUUUCAUAUUUUUCAUUUUCUUUCACCAGUAACAAUAACUGUGGUUAAGUUAUUUUAAAGUACAACUUCUUUCCCUUCCAUUACACUGCAUUUUAAGAAAGCCAAAUAGAAACUAGCUAUCUCUAAUAUUUUUAUCAUAAAACCUUGAGAAUUUUAAUACUUGCUGGCAAUUGUUAUGGUUAGCAGCACAUGUUCCAAAAUAUGAGUUAUUUCAAAAAAUAUUUUCCUAAGUUGAAGGAACGUCAGAGUUGGAAGAAUCCUUCCAAUCACUGAGUUCAAUUUCUUUAUUUUAGUUAUAAUACUAAUAUUAGCUUUUAAAAGGGACUUAAAUUAAGAGGAUUCCUCACUUACUAACCACGGUAAUUUAAAAAACGAUAUGAAUAGAAGCAAACAUUCUUGAAAUGUUAUUGUAGCCAUUCCAUAAGUGUCCUUUUCCAUAGCUUUAGUAUUCAGUUAAGAAAUAAAAACAACCAGCAGUAACAACAAAAUAUUAAAGCAACCUAAAGCAUUGGCUUAGAAAUCAGAAAGACAAAGUUCAAAUCCCAGCCUUAUUUUUCUCCGGUUGGCAGGAAGAUGACUUGUGUUAGCUGAAAGACACUGACUUUCUAAAUUUUAUAUAGGGUUAUCAGUGGGUUUCUGGCAAUAAGCAUUUCUCACCGUAUUCAGGAGGUAAGUCUGUGAGUCAGGCUUUUUAUUUGUAUGCGGCAGCGUUCCCUCAAGAAAACAAAUCAGAGUCUAUUGUUUUCAGGUGUCCUUUUAUUUUCCUGCUCCCUUUCACUGUAUCAGUUCUAUCUAAAUACAAUUUAAUGUAAAAUUCACUUUUACAUGGAAAAUUAUUUUAAAAUUAAUACCUAGUCCUCAAGUACAAUCCUUUUUGUCUUAAAUCUCAGUAGACUGUAUUUUUAAAAAAUUAUUCAUCCAUUCUUUCUGCAAUUGUAUUGACAUGGUUUGGCUCUGUGUCCCCGCCCAAAUCUCAUUUUGAAUUGUAAUCCCCACGUCUCAGGGGAGGGACCUGGUGGUAAGUGAUUGGAUCAUGGGAGCGGUUUCCCCAGUGCUGUUCUCAUGAUAGUGAGUGAGUGAGUUCUCAUGAGAUCUGAUGGGUUUAAAAGUGCGGCAUUUCCCUCCUCUUUCUCCCUCUCCUGCACCAUGUUAAGAUGUGCCUUGCUUCCCCUUUGCCUUCGACCAUGAUUGUAAGUUUUCUGAGGCCUCCCCUGCCA